rnacentral:lncRNA from 1 species
GGGAAGGCAUUAAUGUCUACUCAAAAUUAGCAUUGGAUUGAAAUUAAAUGUAAAAUCACUUAUUUCAUUUAUUCGUGUAUUUUAAUAUUCUUAUAUUUUUGCACUAACAGAGCAUUUAAUGAUCAUGUUUUUUUUUUUUUUUUUGUAUUUUCAUUGUUAGAUCGUGAGCCACUUCAAUGGUUUGCAGAACAAAUCAUGAAUGCUGAAGGAGUGCGUGAUCUUGAUGAUUGACAAUAUAUCGCAUGAUGUAUUGGAAGUUUGGAAUCUACAUGGAUUUGUUUAUUUGUGGACUUUAAUAGUGGUAUUAGACUUGAAUUUAUGUUAUUUUUUAUAUUUGAUUUAUGUUAUGGUACUUUUAUUUGUAGAUUUAUGAUGUUGUUGUAUGUUAUUCUUGUUGAAUUGUUGAUCGUUGAAUUAUUAUUGAAUUUUA